GCGCCGCGCACUCACCGCCUAGGCCGGGAGGGCGGGCUCGGCUCCCCGGAAGAAGGGAGUGGGAAGGCGGCCAAAGGGGCUGAAGGGGCGGGCCGGGCCGGCUUGGGAGGGGACGCGGAGGGGGCGGGCCGGGCUGCGUUCGCUCCAGCCGCGGCUCUACAGCAGCGGGCGGCGGGACCCGGGACCCAGCUUGGCGACGGCGAUCUCGACGCGGGCCCCCAGGAUCUCCCGGCGCCCCACCUCUGGAGCAGCCCCUGCCGCCAGCGUCAGGUCCACCCCGGAAUCCCAGGGACUCUCGGCGCCGAACGGACCCGGGCCGGGUGCAACGGGGUCCCCGGACUGGAGAAGACGCGGGUGGCACCGUGCGAGCUCCAGGAGCCCCGGGUCCACUGCGAGGCCUCGGGGGGCGCAGACCUGCAGAGACUGCGGCCAACGGGAAGAAAUAAAGGGAUUAUAGUCCACCCAAUUCACAGACUUCUGAGACUCAGACACGAGGAGAGAUAGAGAACCGCCAAUCUCUAAAUCAACAAGCAAAGGAGGUGCCAAGCCUGUUUGUCUUCAUUGUGACACUGGAGUCUAGAUGCUGGGAAGUCCAAGAUCAGGGUGCCGGCAUGGUCAGUUCCUGGCGAAGCCUCUCUUCUAGGUUUCAGACUGCCCUCUUCUUUGUUGUGUCCUCGAAUGGCAGAAAAAGGGGUGGCUGUUGGAGGAAGGGAGGAGAGUAAAUGAAGAGAAAGAACUGGAAUAACCC
rnacentral:lncRNA from 1 species